rnacentral:lncRNA from 1 species
UAUGGCCAUGGAUGUAGAACUUCGUGGUUGUGGUCAUGGUUAUGGCCAUGGAUGUAGAGCUUUGUGAUGACCGUAGUCAUGGAUAUAGGGCUGCAUGAUUGUGGUUAUGGUCAUCGGUGUAGAACGUCAUGGUCAUGGUCAUGGUCAUGGUCAGGAAUGUAGAGCUUUGUGAUGAUCGUGGUCGUGGAUGUAGAGCUUCGUGGUCAUGGUCAUGGAUGUAGAGCUGUGUGGUCAUGGUUAUGGUCAUGGAUGUAGAGCUUCGUGGUUGUGGUCAUGGUCAUGGUCAAGGAUGUAGAGCUUUGUGAUGAUCGUGGUCAUGGAUGUAGAGCUUUGUGGUCAUGGUUAUGGUCAUGGAUGUAGAGCUUUGUGAUGAUCGUGGUCAUGGAUGUAGAGCUUCGUGGUCAUGGUCAUGGAUGUAGAGCUGUGUGGUCAUGGUUAUGGUCAUGGAUGUAGAGCUUUGUGGUCAUCAUCAUGGAUGUAGAGCUUUGUGGUCGUGGUCAUGGUCAUGGAUGCAGAGCUUUGUGAUGAUCGUGGUCAUGGAUGUAGAUCUUCAUGGUCAAUGCCCUCAAGUUGCACCAGGGGAGAUUGAGGCUGGGCGUUAGGAAACACUGCUUUUCCUUUCGGAGUGGCCAGGCGCUGGGAUGCGCUGCACCGGGAUGGGCUGGAGUCACCAUCCCUGGAGGUGCUCAAGAAACAUUUGAGAGCC